GACUCACCCCGAAAGAGAUUGCCAGCCAGCUU
rnacentral:scRNA from 1 species